rnacentral:tRNA from 1 species
GCGCUCGUAGCUCAGCCUGGAUAGAGUGUUGGCCUCCGAAGCCAAAGGUCACAGGUUCAAACCCUGUCGGGCGCGCCA